rnacentral:lncRNA from 1 species
UCAUCUACCAAGUCAGACAGCAUUUGCAAUUUUUCACAUCUGGAGUCCCUGACCUCUGAAAAAGAGGAAGGUGAUUUCGUUUUCUCAUCUCCUCUUUGCAAUUCACAUUUGGUCAUUACAAUUACAUGGUGUUCACAGCUAUGUUAAGUUUUUUGACUCUUCUUUCCAUUCACAUGGCUGAAGUCAUUGGGUUUAUUAUUUUCCUGGUUCUUUAUUUUUAAUCGACUAGACUUUUAUAAUUGGACAAUUCUCUCAGGAAUGGUACUAAUUACCUGAAGAGAGGCAAUGUGGCCUAAUCCAAGGGGCACUGGAUUUUUGUUUAAGGGAACUGAGUUUAUAUUCCAGCUUAGUUCCUCACUAUGUAUGUAUCUAUGAGUAAGUCAUUUCAUCUCCAGAGUUCUCUGUUUCUUCAUCAAUAAUUUGAAAAGCAUUUAUGAAGGGCUUACUGUACUCCAGGCACUGCGGAGAGAUGCAAAGAAAAGGAAAUUGGACCAGAUGACAUCUUCCAUGCCAAGAUUUCAUAUGGAGGAAGAGGAGAUUGGAACAGGCUUGGGGGUAAAGUGGAACCUCGGAAAUUCUUUGGGAGAGUUGGGAAUGCUGAACAGACAAAAGGAGAAGGUUUCAAAACUGCAGGGGAUUUUUCAAGAUAUUUUUUUCUCUUCUGUUACAGUAAGAAAAGGGUACGUAUGAUCUUUUGUGUAUUUCUACAACGUUGGAUUGAAAAGUUUCAACCAUAAACCAGCCUUAAAUACCGUCACUAUUUUUUUCUCCAUUGCUGCUGUCCUGGCAAAAUUUAAGCACGACCAUAUACUAUUUAUAGAUUUGAUCAAUUCAAUUCAAAAAGCAAUUCAGUUCUACUGCGUGCCAGUCACCAAAUGCCACUCUUCCUCACACCCACCUCUUACAAUCAUUAAUUUCCUUCAAGACUCAUGUCAAAUACUAUCCUCUCUAGGUACAGCUUCCAAAUAAUUUUUUUUUCCAUUGACUUUUGAGCCAGGUCAGCUAACUGGAUCUUCCUUUCUGAUCCAAAUAAUCUUUUUGUAACAACAGAGGGC